rnacentral:rRNA from 1 species
UACAGAGGGUGCAAGCGUUAAUCGGAAUUACUGGGCGUAAAGCGUGCGUAGACGGUUAUUUAAGUCAGGUGUGAAAGCCCAGGGCUCAACCUUGGAAUUGCAUUUGAGACUGAAUAGCUAGGGUGCGGAAGAGGGAAGCGGAAUUUCCGGUGUAGCGGUGAAAUGCGCAGAUAUCAGGAGGAACACCGGUGGCGAAGGCGGAUCUCUGGGCCGAUACUGACGCUGAGGAGCGAAAGCGUGGGGAGCGAACAGG